AGUGAACGCUGGCGGUAGGCCUAACACAUGCAAGUCGAACGGCAGCACAGUAAGAGCCUGCUCUUACGGGUGGCGAGUGGCGGACGGGUGAGGAAUACAUCGGAAUCUACUUUUUCGUGGGGGAUAACGUAGGGAAACUUACGCUAAUACCGCAUACGACCUACGGGUGAAAGCAGGGGAUCUUCGGACCUUGCGCGAUUGAAUGAGCCGAUGUCGGAUUAGCUAGUUGGCGGGGUAAAGGCCCACCAAGGCGACGAUCCGUAGCUGGGCUGAGAGGAUGGUCAGCCCCGCUGGAACUGACACACGAUCCAGCCCCCAACGGUACGCAGGGGAGGGGUGGAUAGGACAGUGGGCGCAAGCCUGAUCCAGCCAUGCCGCGUGGGUGAAGAAGGCCCGGGGGUUGUAAAGCACUUUUCUUGGGAAAGAAAAGCAGCAGCUUAACACCCCGCUGGGCGACCGUUACCCAAAGAAUAGGCACCGGCUACCUUCUU
rnacentral:rRNA from 1 species